rnacentral:lncRNA from 1 species
AAACCCAAUACAGUGGCCCAAAAAUCAAACCUAAAACCCAAUGUCACAGCCCAAUACAAGCCCAAAGCUUAACCAACUAAGCAGAAACCCUAGACCUUUGCUUCAGCGCAGCCACAACAGCCCUGCGCACCGCCCCCUCCGCAACAGUAGCCGCCAUUUGCGCAAGUUGCGCCUCCACGUGCGCCACUCCUCUACGCACGCCAUGCCUUGCGCAUCGCACCUGAAACAACAAACAAAAACAAACCGCAACAAAAUAAUAGGGAUAGCAGAAUAGAUUUCAUUUUUUUUUAUUUCCAUUUUCGGCUAUAAAAGGAAUAUUUUCAUUGUAAAGUGGGGGAGAAUUGGAAAAACAGCAACAGAAAUAGAAAGAAAUACUGAGUUUGCAAAGAAUAUUUCUUUUUUCUUAAAGGUGAAUCGUUUUUUUAUUUUUUAUUUUUUACUUUUUUUUCAUCUAUUCUUUUGAUUUUUUUUUUUGUUUUGUAAAAUAAUAAUACAAAGAGAACGAAGGAAACUUACCCGAGAGCGUCGCGCCAUCGCCAUCUCCAUCGCGUUCGGAGCUUUGGCGAGGAGGCCGACGAACGGCGGUGCAAUGAUGCUAGGGACGAAACCCUAGCAGAGCAAAG